UUUGACCCUUAUUCCAUUUUUCUAUCUUACAUUUAGAGGUUGUCAUCGGUUUUUUUGUGUAGUUAUUAUGCAUCAGUACACCUUAAGAAGUUCUAAGUCUAAGCAACAGAUUUUUGCCAGAGUAUUUCAUCCGGAUGAGGUGUAUAUUGUUGUACCAAGACAAUUCUUGAAUGAUUUUGAAGAAAGUCUCUCUAAAUAUGUUGAAUUAGUGGAUCCUGUAGGGAAUAAAUUAUGUGUUAGCUUUUAUUUUGAUCGUGAUGAACCAAGAUUUGGUGCUAAUAUUUCAGAGUUACGAACUGUGCACCAAAUACAGGGAAGUGUGAUAAUUUGUUUUAUUUAUCUUGGUGAUAGUAGAUUUGACAUCCAAAUUAGUGAUCUAAACUUGUUUGAGAUUGAGUACAGGAAAAGAACUGCUCAUGUUGCAGCUAAUGUUGCAAGUUCAAGUCAUAUGAAUUUUCAUGAAGUAGAUGGUUCGGUUAUAAAUUUAAUUAGUGAUGAUGAUUCUGAGAAUGAAGUUGAAGAUAUUGUGAAUUAGGAGAUGUUAAUUUGGUCAGUUGAUCUCACUGCUGAUCUCAUUAUUCCCCGUCAUCAUCUGAUUAUUCCUUAUUAUAUUCAGGAAAAGGUUUUCAACGACGUGAGUCCAGAAAUCAAUGUACUUCUUCCAGAUGGUUCUUGGACUAGAUGAGAAAUCGUCUGGUACUCACUUAGUGAGGGGAUGAGUGAAUCUGGGAGUAUGGGUGCCAUUUUUGGGCGGUGGUAUGAGUUCUAUAAGGAAACAUUUUUCAGACUUGGAAAUUCCGUUGCAAGACACAAGAUGCAGCUAUGGAAAAUGGUUCUUCUCAAUUUUUACAGAGUUGUUGUUUUGACGGAGUAAUUUAACAUCAAAAGUUACAUCUUUUUGUUCUUUUUUUGUACUACAUAAUAUAACAUGAUGUGGUUGUAAACAUCACUUGAACGGUGCUACUUUAUUUGUUCACUGUGAAUGGUUGUUUAUUUUGUCUAUAA